rnacentral:sRNA from 1 species
GCUAGGUAUGGUGACUCUGGCCUAUAGUCCCAGUUACUUGGGAGGCUGAGAUGGGAGAAUCACCUGAGCUCAUGAGUUCAGGAUCAGCCUGGGUGAAAUAGUGAGACUCUGUCUCAA